rnacentral:lncRNA from 1 species
UGGUGGAUCACUUGAGUCCAGGAGUUUGAGAACAGCCACCACAGUGGAACCCUGUCUCUACUAAGAAUACAAAAAAUUAGCUGGGUGUGGUGGUGCACGCCUGUAAUCCCAGCUACUCAGGAAGCUGAGGCACGAGAAUUACUUGAACCCGGGAGGUAGAAGUUGCAGUGAGCUGAGAUCAUGCCGUUGCACUGCAGCCUGGGCGACGAGCGAAACUCUGUCUCAAAAAACCAAAAAAACAGAAAAGCAAAAAAACCCCACAAUCCAGUGAGUAAGACCUCAGCCGGCCUGAGGUUCACAGGGUUUAAAUGGAAUGCAGUGGGAAGUAAAGAGUGAUCCCAAGGAGAAGUAAAAAUCUUGACACCUUACUCUCUUCGGCUUGUCCCACUUUUCUUCAACUGCCCCGCUACUGGAACAUUUUCUCUUUCUCAAUUUCGAUUGUCCCCUUAAGCAAUUUACUAAUUAGACAUUAAAACUUCCUAUUCUCUCAAUCCCAAAGCAAAACUGAUGAGCAGAGCAAACCAGAGCAGUUGGGCCAGAACAGAACAAAGACGUACCUGAUGCAGGGAAUUGAAGCCAGACCCAAAACGGGCAACCCAAUAGGAUGGCCAUCUGCCCCAUUAAUGCCAGCUUGUCCAAGUGUAAUUAUUAACAGUGCCCCCUUUCACUCUCCAAAGAGUCCCUGUCCAGACAGUUAAUUGUGAAGUCGCCUUCAGAUGGCUGGCGGUAAGGAAAGUAGAGUGAGGGAAGCAGGGUAGGUGGAGGUGUGAAAGGGAGAGGGCCUCAUCUCAGGGUGGCUGGACCUGCACCAGCAUCGGCCUGCAUGAAUGUGCUCCUACUCUUGCCCAGGCUGAGUAUCAAGAGAAGCAAGAAAUCUAGAUAAAAAUCCAAAUCCAGAAACAUCAGCGUUUUGAGGUUAACAUGUUGGCAAUUAUUCAGCUUUAUGAAAAAAAAAAAAAAAAACACAAAAAAACAGCAUGGGAGCCUGGCAAAAUAUGUGGGUGACCCUUGGCUACUUUUGAAUGAAGUUUUUCAUUCUGUCCUUCAAAAAAAAAAAUCAUACAAAAAAAAUAGGAGAUCAAGGGGGAAAAAAAAAAGAGGGCAUGGAAAAACCAGCCUCUGGUAUAGGCUUUCAGGGUAUAUUGGUGAGCAAACUUUUCCUAGAGCUGUUUCUGGUUAUCAGCUUUGCUUUUUAGUGAGAUUGAGUUAAUCUUAUAUCUUUAUGUUCUAAAAAAAAAAAAAAAAAAAAAAAGAAGAAGAAAGUAACAAUGUCCAAACUUCCCUGGAGCCAUUUCUGUCUCUGUGAAAUAGGCAAUUUAAGGUCCAUCCCAUCCUAAAAGCUUUUAG